UUUUUUUAUGGAGAGUUUGAUCCUGGCUCAGGACGAACGCUGGCGGCGUGCUUAACACAUGCAAGUCGAACGGAAAGGCCUAGCUUGCUAGGUACUCGAGUGGCGAACGGGUGAGUAACACGUGGGUGAUCUGCCUCGUACUUCGGGAUAAGCCUGGGAAACUGGGUCUAAUACUGGAUAGGACCAUGCUUUAGUGUGUGUGGUGGAAAGUUUUUUCGGUACGAGAUGAGCCCGCGGCCUAUCAGCUUGUUGGUGGGGUAAUGGCCUACCAAGGCGUCGACGGGUAGCCGGCCUGAGAGGGUGGACGGCCACAUUGGGACUGAGAUACGGCCCAGACUCCUACGGGAGGCAGCAGUGGGGAAUAUUGCACAAUGGGCGCAAGCCUGAUGCAGCGACGCCGCGUGGGGGAUGACGGCCUUCGGGUUGUAAACCUCUUUCGCUAGGGACGAAGCUUUUGUGACGGUACCUAGAUAAGAAGCACCGGCUAACUACGUGCCAGCAGCCGCGGUAAUACGUAGGGUGCGAGCGUUGUCCGGAAUUACUGGGCGUAAAGAGCUCGUAGGUGGUUUGUCGCGU
rnacentral:rRNA from 1 species